UUAUGAUGUGUAAAUUGUAUUUAAAAUUAUAAGUUCAAAGAUUGAGAAAGGUGCAUGCAACUUAAGUACCCAAAACAAUGCAACUAAACAACUUUUUGAAGAUCUCGUGGUAAGAGCCCUCGAUUUCUCCUACUUGUUUGCUCGAGUUAAUGGUUUAUAAGACAACUUUAGAAGGUUUACGUAAGGGAUGGCAUUUGUGCUUAAUCGUGAUAUGAGUUUGGUGGAGCUUCUCUUUCCCUAUUCCUGAGAAAUGAAAAUAUGGUACAUUUGUCUGAUAUGAAUAGAUGUGGCUGUACAUGGGGCUGUUCACUCUGAGAUCAAAUCUACGCAGAGGACCACGCUACAACAAGUAUGUGUUGUGAUAAAGUUAGAUCCAGUGAGGUUGGUGACAGGUUGGUAGCUUGCAUCCAAGUGGAGAAAAAGGAUUGGGUUCUCACUCAAGCAAGGUUAUUGCAGGCAGAUGGUGAGGUUGUUGUUUGGCUUUGCUUGAACUUAGUUUAGAAAACAUGAAUACUAUUAUUCAAAAUCCAUGCAGGUGAAACUCCUAAAAAAAGGGAUGGUCUAAUAUACAAAAAGUCCUGUCAAUAUAGAGUUUGGAAAUGGUCAAUGUAUAUUACUUUUUAUUCCUUGUAGAUAAAAUUUUAGGGUUCUUGGUCCCAACCCCCAAAGAGAAAAAGGAAACAUCAGUGUUAAUGUGGAUCUGCUUAUAGCCUGUUGUUUUCUGAAUGGUUUCUUCCCUCAAAAGUGUCAACCAAAGUUAAUUCAUGCAAGUUUUACUUGUUCUAGUUUAAUCGUCAGUGCUAGUAGUUACUACAUCUGGGGUUUUUGCAAAACCAUG
rnacentral:lncRNA from 1 species